rnacentral:rRNA from 1 species
UGGGGAAUAUUGGACAAUGGGCGAAAGCCUGAUCCAGCCAUGCCGCGUGUGUGAAGAAGGUCUUCGGAUUGUAAAGCACUUUAAGUUGGGAGGAAGGGCAGUAAGCGAAUACUUUGCUGUUUUGACGUUACCGACAGAAUAAGCACCGGCUAACUCUGUGCCAGCAGCCGCGGUAAUACAGAGGGUGCAAGCGUUAAUCGGAAUUACUGGGCGUAAAGCGCGCGUAGGUGGUUCGUUAAGUUGAAUGUGAAAGCCCCGGGCUCAACCUGGGAACUACAUCCAAAACUGGCGGGCUAGAGUAGGGCAGAGGGUGGUGGAAUUUCCUGUGUAGCGGUGAAAUGCGUAGAUAUAGGAAGGAACACCAGUGGCGAAGGCGACCACCUGGGCUCAUACUGACACUGAGGUGCGAAAGCGUGGGGAGCAAACAGG